GACGAACGCUGGCGGCGUGCUUAACACAUGCAAGUCGAACGGAAAGGCCCUGCUUUUGUGGGGUGCUCGAGUGGCGAACGGGUGAGUAACACGUGAGUAACCUGCCCUUGACUUUGGGAUAACUUCAGGAAACUGGGGCUAAUACCGGAUAGGAGCUCCUGCUGCAUGGUGGGGGUUGGAAAGUUUCGGCGGUUGGGGAUGGACUCGCGGCUUAUCAGCUUGUUGGUGGGGUAGUGGCUUACCAAGGCUUUGACGGGUAGCCGGCCUGAGAGGGUGACCGGCCACAUUGGGACUGAGAUACGGCCCAGACUCCUACGGGAGGCAGCAGUGGGGAAUAUUGCACAAUGGGCGGAAGCCUGAUGCAGCAACGCCGCGUGCGGGAUGACGGCCUUCGGGUUGUAAACCGCUUUCGCCUGUGACGAAGCGUGAGUGACGGUAAUGGGUAAAGAAGCACCGGCUAACUACGUGCCAGCAGCCGCGGUGAUACGUAGGGUGCGAGCGUUGUCUGGAUUUAUUGGGCGUAAAGGGCUCGUAGGUGGUUGAUCGCGUCGGAAGUGUAAUCUUGGGGCUUAACCCUGAGCGUGCUUCCGAUACGGGUUGACUUGAGGAAGGUAGGGGAGAAUGGAAUUCCUGGUGGAGCGGUGGAAUGCGCAGAUAUCAGGAGAACACCAGUGGCGAAGGCGGUUCUCUGGGCCUUUCCUGACGCUGAGGAGCGAAAGCGUGGGGAGCGAACAGGCUUAGAUACCCUGGUAGUCCACGCUGUAAACGGUGGGUACUAGGUGUGGGGUCCAUUCCACGGGUUCCGUGCCGUAGCUAACGCUUUAAGUACCCCGCCUGGGGAGUACGGCCGCAAGGCUAAAACUCAAAGGAAUUGACGGGGCCCCGCACAAGCGGCGGAGCAUGCGGAUUAAUUCGAUGCAACGCGUAGAACCUUACCUGGGUUUGACAUGGAUCGGGAGUGCUCAGAGAUGGGUGUGCCUCUUUUGGGGUCGGUUCACAGGUGGUGCAUGGCUGUCGUCAGCUCGUGUCGUGAGAUGUUGGGUUAAGUCCCGCAACGAGCGCAACCCUUGUUCACUGUUGCCAGCACGUUAUGGUGGGGACUCAGUGGAGACCGCCGGGGUCAACUCGGAGGAAGGUGGGGAUGACGUCAAGUCAUCAUGCCCCUUAUGUCCAGGGCUUCACGCAUGCUACAAUGGCUGGUACAGAGAGUGGCGAGCCUGUGAGGGUGAGCGAAUCUCGGAAAGCCGGUCUCAGUUCGGAUUGGGGUCUGCAACUCGACCUCAUGAAGUCGGAGUCGCUAGUAAUCGCAGAUCAGCAACGCUGCGGUGAAUACGUUCCCGGG
rnacentral:rRNA from 1 species